rnacentral:lncRNA from 1 species
AGUCGUCAGUGAGCUCGAGGAGACGUGGUCUGUUAGGAGGGCACCCCUUGAGCCCCUUGGUCCGGCCAAGGCCACUCUGAUUCGUGGGUCAGGACUUGGUCUCUGCGUGGUCAGCCAGGAAAUUGGAGCCUGUCAUCGCAUCAGUCACCUGCGCAGCCUGUCACCACAUCAGUUACCUGAUCAGCUUUCACACCUCAGUCACCAGUGACCCGCUACCUUGUUUCUUCUGAACCACACAGUUGUGAUGUCAGAGCCAGCGCGGUAAAGGGCCUCUCCCGUCCCCGGAACUGUUGCUGCUGUUACAAAUGGGGCUGCCAGCACCCGCCAGGCUGCUCAGCUCCUCUUGCUCCUUGGAGAAGACGCUGCGGUGCAGCUGCUCCUUCUACGGGGUCCCCACUCCGUCCGUGCAGUGGUGGAUCGGAGGUGCCCCAGUGGGCGUGAAUGCUGUAGACGGCAGCCUCCAGGUGACCUCUGCCACACAUGGGCCCUGGGCCAACAGCACCAUCCUCCUGUCCAAGGAGCCAGCAAUGGGAACGCGCCUUCUCUGUGAGGGCAAGAACCAAAAUGGAACCCACGCUUUGAGCAUCCUGCUGAUGUCAAGGAGGAGCCCUUUGGCUCCUGAGACCUUCCUGAAAGGGCUGGUACGUGGUGCUGUUUAUGGAUCCAUGGCAAUCACGCUGCUCUUCUUCUGCAUUCUCUUCCCCCUCAUGGUGAAGGAUAUCAGAAUGAAGUGGGCAAAGAAAAUUGCAGUCAUCGAAGCACAAAAGAGCCCUAAAGUCAGAGCAGGCCAAGAAUCCAAGAUGCUUCUGAUGCUUGAGGAGCCAGGGAAGUCCACAACCAUCCCGUCCUCGGAGGGCCAGAUCUCGGAGAAGCAAGGUCAACUGGAGCCAAUGAACCCUGUGGAAUCUGCAUCGUACCUGAGCCCCCUUUACCCCUGGCAUUACAAAUGCCCACGAAGCCCUCAGAGCCCCAGAGACCCUGGAGUCGAUAGUAAAUCGGAAGCCCUCAGCUCACAAAGCCCUCUUAACCCGUAUUUGUCCUUCACACUGGUUCUCCAUUGAGUUGCAGUGUGUUGCUUAAUCUCUGACCUGACCACACAACUUUUGCAGGCGAAUUCUUGGACUGGUUGUUUGCAUUAGCCGAAAGGAACAUGCCCCAAUCUGAAGCGGUGUCACAGGAAGGAAAAACACAUGUAAAACUAUAAAACAGGCCCAUCCGGAAGUAGCUUUUGCGCCCCUAUUGUGUGCCCAGCACCCAAGGUACACAUGCAAGAUCACUGGGCACCAGAGCCACCAUAUUUGGAUCAGGUUCCCACUUCAGUGUUCACAGUGGCUGUGUGCCCUGUCACCGCUCUCUGAACUUCACUAUUCUCACGUGACACACACCUGGGUGGAGGGGGAGUGGGAAGUGGCAUCCAGAGACUUGGGCAAAGAAGAGGUUCCAGAGGGGCCCUGAGUGCCAAGAUAAGGCCCCGGAACUUUAGCACGUAGGAGCUUGUUCCCAACUCUUAGAAUGUAAAUUCCGUGGAAACAGGAACCUUAUCUGUCUCAUUUUCUACUUCUAUCACCAGCACCUUCAAUUAUGCUUAAAAUACAAGAAUGCUUUCAGAAAUGUUCAUCAAAUAACUGAAUGAAUGAAUUAUAUACUGUUAUACGGUUUGAAGCAAUGAUGUCGAAUCGCCAUUUUCCUCCUUCCCUCCCCCACCCUAAUGCCCUUCUUCUCCCCUCCCCUUCCUUUCUCUUCCCUCCCCUCUGUCUCCCUGCACUGGUUAGCACACCUGUGGGGCGGAACUUGGGGGGGGGCAUCCCUGUGACUUCCGGCAGGUGUCCCAUGACAUCCGGUGGGUAGGAAGCUGAUGAGCUCCACAGAACAUCCAGGCCAGCCGACAAGUCAGCCUUGCUGUGCUUCUUCCGCUCCUUUCUCUAUUUAAAAGAGAUAAAAUGGGAGGCAGGGAG